CCAGACUCCUACGGGAGGCAGCAGUGAGGAAUAUUGGUCAAUGGGCGGGAGCCUGAACCAGCCAAGUCGCGUGAGGGAAGACGGUCCUAUGGAUUGUAAACCUCUUUUGUCGGGGAGCAAAGAGGCCACGUGUGGUCAAAAGCGAGAGUACCCGAAGAAAAAGCAUCGGCUAACUCCGUGCCAGCAGCCGCGGUAAUACGGAGGAUGCGAGCGUUAUCCGGAUUUAUUGGGUUUAAAGGGUGCGCAGGCGGGCUGUUAAGCCGGCGGUAAAAAUUCAGGGCUCAACCCUGUCGAGCCGUCGGAACUGGCAGUCUUGAGUGGGCGAGAAGUAUGCGGAAUGCGUGGUGUAGCGGUGAAAUGCAUAGAUAUCACGCAGAACGCCGAUUGCGAAGGCAGCAUACCGGCGCCCAACUGACGCUGAGGCACGAAAGCGUGGGGAUCGAACAGGAUUAGAUACCCCUGUAC
rnacentral:rRNA from 1 species